rnacentral:lncRNA from 1 species
UCCAGAGUUCAUGUACGUAAAACAAAAAGAGCUCCUAAAGACACAAAGCUUGCAGAUCUGUAAUUUGGCAGAAUAAUCAAAAUGCAGUAGAAAUUUUGUUCCUGAGAGAGUGGAGGGUAUGGUAAAUCCAAUCAGAAAUGCUUUAUCAUUUUUGUAGUUUUCUUCGAAUGACUCCAGAUCUUCCCAAAAGCAGCUUCCAAAGCACCUUUGCAUCUCUCCCACUGACAGGAUGGGCCUAAAGCCUCCUCUCAAGAAUAGCUCUGUCUUCAUACUUAUUCACAUCUGCAUGAGUUUCAACUCUGAGGCAAGUUCUUUGCAUAGAAAGGAUCACCUAAAAGCAGCCCCACAUCCUUCUAAACGGCAGAGUGUGAAGUGGUACCUGAGCUCCACCUACCGUGCUCCUUGAGGUUGUUUUAAAUCAGGGAGCCCAGCUGGCCCAGAACCCAGAUGGCUUUCCACUCCCCAUGUGGCAGCCAUCAGCUCUAAGACCCCAGCUCAGUGACCAGGCCAUCAAAGAGGCUGCCAAGAUCAGACAGGCUGUAUUCUCUCACAGCUUUUUACAGGAAGCAAAGGAGCUAAAGGGAAUAAUGACAGAGGUAGCCUGCAAACGUAACCAGAGGUAUGUAUUUUAAAGGAUGAAUAAAAACAAAUGACUAUGUUGUAGAAAUCUAUUUCAGCAUGUAUGUGCAUCAGAGUAGAAAUCAUUUAUUUUCCUGGUCUCUCAUGAGAGUUGAUAUUACAGUGCCUACAUAGAAUAACUAGCCAUUAUAAAUGUAGAGUGCUUUAGGACUGUCAAAGCAAUCACACCGAAAUUACCCCAGUGAUAUCUAAUCUCCAUCAUGCACUCAAUAUGUGCAUGGACCUAUACUGAUAAGAUGGAAUUAAUAUCUCAAAGGCAAGAAUUUUUUUUUUCCCUGAUAGAGUCAGGUGUUUUGCAGUGAUGGAUGAGGUCAAACAGAAUUUGUCAGAAUUAACACAGCUGUUUCCGCAUGUGGUGUUUGGGUUGCAAUUCUCAUUUGUGGCUUUUAUUGUUCCCUUCUCCACAUUUCAGCGCAAUGGCAGAUGUUUCCUAAGUGUAUACCCCUCGUGUUACUUUACAUCCCCUUGCAGGAUGAUACUGGGCCACAGCCUCCCAUGGGGUUACAGCUAGAGAAUCUUGUAUAAAAUAUUUUUCCUUGAUCAACGUAAUAUAUGCAUGUAGCAGAAAAUCAAAUAGAAUAGACUGGCUUAUAAAAUAAAGUGAGAGUCUGUCACCUCCCCACUUUCUACUCUCCAAGGGCAAUCAUGUUUAACUAUUUCUGUGUCUAGUUUUUUUGAGUGUUAGAUACGGAUCUGAGUGAUCUAUUUUUAGGACUAAUUCUUGAUGUAUAGGCUUUAGCUAUUCUCAGUUUAAUGUCUUACUGAUUGAAAAGAAUACUUUUUAAUAUCUUCUUCCUCUCUUCUCAAUUUUUGAUGGCUAUAUCACUAUUUUUUUGCCUCAAAUUGUUACUUUUGUAACUAAAAAUGAAAUCCAUAAGCCCUCAUUUUGUGUUCCAUACAUUUUUGAAAAUAUAGACUGAAUUCCCAACUUGUAAAACAAGAAUUUAAAACACAUCUAUCCUUCCAUUUCCCUCCCAUCUUCCAAUCUAUUUUAAACAUUUAAGUAUAGCUCUUGUUUUAACUACAUGUUGAUUAUAAAAAUUGACAGGCACUAAAUAUCUUAGCAGGAUUAUAACUAUAUAAAUAUUGCUCAUUGGAAAGUCAAAGACUAUGUCAUAGUCACAUUUCAUUGUCUGCGGUUCCCACCACCCUUCCUUCUGUCCUUGAAAUCACAGUGUUCCUAGUAUCAGUUACUGUCUCUAGUAA